rnacentral:lncRNA from 1 species
CAGCCAUCACUGCAGUGCACAACCACAGACGUCUUCCCUGACUCCACCUUGUCAGCAAUCCGCAGGGCUCCAGCAAGAAUGAGCUUGAUAUGCUCUAGCCAAUGAGUUGAUUCUAAAUUAGACAGCCAGUGAGUCUCUUCAAUAUUGGGAUACACAAUUUCUUUGAGUUUUCUCAGUGACUCUCUCAUGACGUGAAUGUUGUGAAUGUCCAGGAACACUAAUUCUGCAUUCUGAUAGGCAUCCUCACUCUCAUAGCCUCCUCCUUUAGCCUUAUUGGCUACAGCAUUCACGCUAGGCCUUGCAUCGAAUAUGAAGAUUUUAUGGGAUUGAGCAUUAGAAUCCAUGAUGGCUUGAAGGUACUUCUCAUCUUCCUUGCUUCGUUUGCCACUUACUCCCACCAUUGGCUGGCUACAGCGAGUAAUCGUUGCUUGACUUUCUGGGUGAAUCCAUGACAACACUGGUAUUCGUCCUCUUGAUCUGAAAGAUGCCACUCUCUUUAAUUCUUCAUCAGGAAUGUUUACGGGCACAGCUAGAAUGGCAGGGUAUGUAUCACACAGCUCAUAGUGCUCGUUAAUCUUGCUCAGCCUCCAGCUUUCAUUGGGAAUUCCUUGUCUUCUGUACUCCCAAAUAGGGUCAUACACCUUCCAUCCAUUUUCUGGAAAAACUUCUUUGUAUUCAAAUGCAAAAAGUGGAAGAUUAUUUGAAACUGGGAAAGCAUAUUUCAUUAGAUUCUCAAAUAUGGAUCGUCUAGUCCUCCCUUCAGGCUUAUGAGCAAAUCUUAAGUUUCUAAUGUCCUUGCAUACAAUCUCCAGCCCAUAGGAAUUCUCACCACGACUGGAAGCACCUCCUAUU